AAAUUGAAGAGUUUGAUCAUGGCUCAGAUUGAACGCUGGCGGCAGGCCUAACACAUGCAAGUCGAACGGUAACAGGAAACAGCUUGCUGUUUCGCUGACGAGUGGCGGACGGGUGAGUAAUGUCUGGGAAACUGCCUGAUGGAGGGGGAUAACUACUGGAAACGGUAGCUAAUACCGCAUAACGUCGCAAGACCAAAGAGGGGGACCUUCGGGCCUCUUGCCAUCGGAUGUGCCCAGAUGGGAUUAGCUAGUAGGUGGGGUAACGGCUCACCUAGGCGACGAUCCCUAGCUGGUCUGAGAGGAUGACCAGCCACACUGGAACUGAGACACGGUCCAGACUCCUACGGGAGGCAGCAGUGGGGAAUAUUGCACAAUGGGCGCAAGCCUGAUGCAGCCAUGCCGCGUGUAUGAAGAAGGCCUUCGGGUUGUAAAGUACUUUCAGCGGGGAGGAAGGGAGUAAAGUUAAUACCUUUACUCAUUGACGUUACCCGCAGAAGAAGCACCGGCUAACUCCGUGCCAGCAGCCGCGGUAAUACGGAGGGUGCAAGCGUUAAUCGGAAUUACUGGGCGUAAAGCGCACGCAGGCGGUUUGUUAAGUCAGAUGUGAAAUCCCCGGGCUCAACCUGGGAACUGCAUCUGAUACUGGCAAGCUUGAGUCUCGUAGAGGGGGGUAGAAUUCCAGGUGUAGCGGUGAAAUGCGUAGAGAUCUGGAGGAAUACCGGUGGCGAAGGCGGCCCCCUGGACGAAGACUGACGCUCAGGUGCGAAAGCGUGGGGAGCAAACAGGAUUAGAUACCCUGGUAGUCCACGCCGUAAACGAUGUCGACUUGGAGGUUGUGCCCUUGAGGCGUGGCUUCCGGAGCUAACGCGUUAAGUCGACCGCCUGGGGAGUACGGCCGCAAGGUUAAAACUCAAAUGAAUUGACGGGGGCCCGCACAAGCGGUGGAGCAUGUGGUUUAAUUCGAUGCAACGCGAAGAACCUUACCUGGUCUUGACAUCCACGGAAGUUUUCAGAGAUGAGAAUGUGCCUUCGGGAACCGUGAGACAGGUGCUGCAUGGCUGUCGUCAGCUCGUGUUGUGAAAUGUUGGGUUAAGUCCCGCAACGAGCGCAACCCUUAUCCUUUGUUGCCAGCGGUCCGGCCGGGAACUCAAAGGAGACUGCCAGUGAUAAACUGGAGGAAGGUGGGGAUGACGUCAAGUCAUCAUGGCCCUUACGACCAGGGCUACACACGUGCUACAAUGGCGCAUACAAAGAGAAGCGAACUCGCGAGAGCAAGCGGACCUCAUAAAGUGCGUCGUAGUCCGGAUUGGAGUCUGCAACUCGACUCCAUGAAGUCGGAAUCGCUAGUAAUCGUGGAUCAGAAUGCCACGGUGAAUACGUUCCCGGGCCUUGUACACACCGCCCGUCACACCAUGGGAGUGGGUUGCAAAAGAAGUAGGUAGCUUAACCUUCGGGAGGGCGCUUACCACUUUGUGAUUCAUGACUGGGGUGAAGUCGUAACAAGGUAACCGUAGGGGAACCUGCGGUUGGAUCACCUCCUUACCUUAAAGAA
rnacentral:rRNA from 1 species